GCUGGAUUGGUAUAUUGGAUGUGCGGGAGUCUUCUAAGCUCCUUUAGGCGGGUUCGAAUCCUGCAUCCAGCGCCA
rnacentral:tRNA from 2 species